ACCGAACCGCCGCGCCUCGCCCGGGACAGUUACACUUAGAGGCCUUGUGGUUGGAGGUCGUUGGGGCUUCCUCUCGGGAGGGCUGCCCCUCGAUUGUGGAGUGUGGGUGUUCAGUGGCGGUUCAGUCAAGGGACGUUUCCCGCUGGGCCAAGGCCUGUGGAUGACUGCGGGCAUCAUCAUGAUGUUAAGCUGCCUCUUUCUUGUGAAGGCACUUCUUGCUCUUGGGUCCCUGGAAUCCUGGAUAACUGCGGGAGAACAUGCAAAAGAGGGAGAAUGCCCUCCUGAUAAGAACCCAUGCAAAGAGCUGUGCCAGGGCGAUGAAUUGUGUCUGGCUGGGCAGAAGUGCUGCACCACAGGCUGUGGUCGGAUCUGCCGAGACAUUCCUAAGGGGAGGAAAAGAGAUUGCCCCAGGGUUAUUCGGAAACAAUCCUGUUUGAAAAGGUGCAUCACUGAUGAGACAUGUCCAGGUGUAAAGAAAUGCUGCACGUUUGGCUGCAACAAGAGCUGUGUAGUCCCAAUCUCUAAACAGAAGCCGGCAGAGUUUGGUGGUGAAUGUCCUGCUGACCCCCUUCCGUGUGAGGAGCUGUGUGAUGGGGAUGCAUCCUGUCCCCAGGGGCAUAAAUGCUGCAGCACCGGCUGUGGCCACACCUGCCUCGGAGACAUUGAGGGAGGGCGGGGCGGUGAUUGUCCAAAAGUUCUGGUGGGCCUGUGCAUUGUCGGCUGUGUGAUGGAUGAGAACUGUCAAGCUGGAGAAAAGUGCUGCAAGUCAGGCUGUGGCCGCUUCUGUGUCCCACCAGUCCUGCCCCGAAAACUGACCGUGAACCCCAACUGGACUGUGAGGUCUGAUUCUGAAUUAGAGAUCCCAGUGCCCUAGCUGUGCUGAUUUGUCUGGAACUUCUGUGGUAACUCUGGAAGCUUUUCCUGGUAGUCAAGAGAGGGUGACAUCCUGGGGCUUGUGACAUUUCCAGGGGCACUCAUGGCCCUCUCUGCUCUGCUUCUCCUCCUGCUGCUGACCAGAGCGUGGGAAACAGCCCUGGAUUGGGCAGUGGGAAGAAGGACACCCACCCUGGUACCUGGUCCCUGGUGAGAGGUGACAGCAAGAAAAGGUGACUCUUCUUUCAUUGUGUCUCCCAAGCCUCCUUAUUGACUUGGUAUAGCCCCUACUGAACUACUGAUCUUUCACCAUCUCUGCUGGGAUGGACUUAGAAGAUAACUCCCAGCAAGAAUUUGCAAGAUAUCCAUAAGCAUCGUUAUUUUUUGACCAGUUUUAUUCUGGCUUCAUUGUGGCCACAUUCUUGUCUCUUAGCUUUUCAUCUUUAUUCACUCCCCUGGGGAAGAGUUGGACCUACCUAUUAGAGCAUCUUUUCCAACAUUCCCCAUGCCUGUCACUUGUUCUUAAUAAACUAAAUAAACUCAUGGUUGGCUGAAGCAUCCCUUCAAGAUUUCAUCCUGGAGGGUCAGCCUGUCCUGUA